UCAAUCAUUUGUUGGCAACCAUCACCGUUGAAAUCGUCUUCCAAUCCAAAAUCAUGCUCCGAAACUUGAUAAUCAUCUACCUCAGGAUUCUCAAUUUCAACAUCGCCGUCACCGUCACCGUCAGACGAAAGCAGGUAUUCAAAUCGCUCAAUUUGACCAAAAGUCUCUUCACCUGCCACUUCGCUAGUGUCAUCUAUAGAAACAUCGCUUUCGUGAUUGAAGUGAAGCAGUUGAU